GUUUAAAAAGUGACACUGAGUUCACAACCAGGCAGCUCCACAAGAAGGAACCUAAAGUCAGGACUAUGAGGAUUGACAAGCAGUCCAGCCACCCUGUGUCAUCCUCUGACUCAAAGCAGAUGAAACACAUGGAGCCAAGGGGGCUCCAGCUGUUCUUUAAAACUCCAUGGGGCCAACAUUCAGCUCUGGAAACUCAUGUCAAUAUAGAAGCUGAAUUAAGAAACAUAAAAUUAUAAAGUCAAGCUAGGUCUACAUUUAAAAAAAAAAUCAAUUUACACAGUGAUUUUACUAUAUUAGUUUUAAAGUGUUGUAUUAUUA